rnacentral:lncRNA from 1 species
UCUUGAAAACUUGUUUUGGUAAUAUAUCUCUGGGAGGUAGCAUACUAGUUCAAUGGCAUUUUUGAGGCUUAAAAGAAAUGUGGUUUAGGGCCCCUUCAAUAGAGA